AUAAAUAUUCACAAAUAAAUAUACAUAAUAAAUGUUCUCUAAUCAACCACAUAGAGUUUUUUUCAACAAAUAAGAACAAAGGGGCCGGGCGCAGUGGCUCAAGCCUGUAAUCCCAGCACUUUGGGAGGCCAAGGCGAGUGGAUCGCUUGAGGCCAGGAGCUCAAGACCAGCCUGGCCAACACGGCAAAACCCCGUCUCUACUGAAAAUAUAAAAAUUAGCCAGGCGUGUUGGUGCGCGCCUGUAAUCCCAGCUACUCAGGAAGCUGAGGCAGGAGAAGAGCUUGAACCUGGGAGGCGGAGGUUGCAGUGAGCCCAGAUAGCGCCAAUGCACUCCAGCCUGGGCCACAGAGUGAGACUCUGUCUCAAAAAAAUUAAAAGGAACAAAAUGAACCCAUUUAUACAAAGACUACAAGGGUGAAGAGACUUGGAUAGCAUGCAGGAUAUUCACAAGCAAUUCUGGAAGAAAAAUGGCAGAUGAGUGCAUUCUGUUAUUAAAAUCACAGCUCAGAGUCCUCCCAGGAAAUGGCUGCGGUGUGUAGGGAGCUGUCUUUCACAGUGAUGAAAAGAACUCUAGGUUCAGAGUGGGCAGGUAUCUGGAAGAACAUUUUUUCGCCAGCAUCCCUUUAUUUAUUGAUACGUCGAUGAGAAUAGUACCACAGCCCAAUGACAUUUAUCAUUUCAGUUGGCAGUGUCUCUGAGAGCAAGCUGCAAGAUUUUCAAGCCUUCACUGAGUCUUCUACUGACAUUUAGCUUAAUCUUGACAAGUAUAUCUGACUACUGCAAUGUGUUAAUGAUCAAGGAGUAUGUCAAAUUACAACAUGUCUGCUGCAGGAAAUUAUGGGGUAAU
rnacentral:lncRNA from 1 species